rnacentral:rRNA from 1 species
UACGUAGGUGGCAAGCGUUAUCCGGAUUUAUUGGGUUUAAAGGGUGCGUAGGCUGUAAGGUAAGUCAGCGGUGAAAUUUUGGUGCUCAACACCAAACGUGCCGUUGAUACUGCUGAGCUAGAGAGUAGUUGCGGUAGGCGGAAUGUAUGGUGUAGCGGUGAAAUGCGUAGAUAUUAGGAGGAACACCAGUGGCGAAGGCGGCUUACUGGACGAUGACUGACGCUGAGGCUCGAAAGCGUGGGGAGCAAACAGG